ensembl:lncRNA
AUUCCACCGGCCCAUCACUAUCAUGUACCGGCCCAUCAUCGCAUCAGCCGAAAUGAUUAACACAGCGGCACAAGCACAAUUUUCUCCAAGAGCUAUGCCUAUCUUAAUCUGACUGACUGACUGACUGACUGACUGACUGACUGACUGACUGACUGACUGACUGACUGACUGACUGACUGACUGACUGACUGACUGACUUUUAUACUGCUACUCGCAAUCGGUCUUCACACUCAUGCCGAAGUGUUCUCAACUGUGCGGAUUGAGGUAGAGAAUUUGGAUUUGCAUACAUACACGCAACGCGGCACCCAGUUCUACGCAUGCGCUCAACCCAUGAGGCCCAGUGAUGCUGGUGGCGAUACGAUACAACGACCCGAAUAUCUUCAGAUGGUUUGCCUUCUCAGAGAGUCUCAUAUGUGGAGGAGUCUACAACACAUCCUGCUGCAUGGACUGAGAGGAGGGAUAGGCAGCGAUGGGAACACGAUUGCCUGAGAGCGGUGGGGGGAAAAUGGAGUUCAUAAAUGAAUAGCCUGAAGAAACAGAUAGUACAUAUCAGAGCAAGUCUGAUGGAACACAAAGCAGCAGAGGACGGGAGACGUCGACGGCAUCAUAUGGAAACAGCUGCUGCCGCCAGACACACUGAACAACGACAAGCUGUGGAGGGGCCCGGACCAGCACCACGUCAGGCUGUCCAGAUGUCUUCACUGGGCUGUCAGGGAUCGGACGUCGCGGCGCGGGAUCCUCGGUGACGAGAUGACGGGGUUCCUCUUGUAAAUCUAUUGCUGAAACCCAGUUCUCAUCCCAGCAGCACCCAGGAGAGUUCAAUCCCAGGCCCUGCAUGGGGCCCUGGAUGAGUCGGGGUGGGACGGGGCCUUGUCCUAGAUUAAACUGUGUGUUCUGGACUCACUCAGAUCCACAAACAACCGUUCUCUAUCAGUCUUCCCCCGGGGACUUGUGGAUGUGGUGUAUGUCGGCGGGGGGGGUGUUGGCCGACUGAGAACACCAGACCGGAUGGAUCCUUUUAGCGUCUUACCUCAUUAAACUGCUUUGUAGACGAUGUUUUGACCAGUUUUCAUAUUCUGCUCAGAAGGAACAAUGAGGAAGCAUAUUCUUGUCCUGUUUGUGUGCGUUCAAAUGAAUAGUUGAGGGGCUUGCUGGAUUUUAAAAUAAACAGUUGAUUAUUUUAUAACGGAACUGAGAGAUCUUUUAGGCUCAUUUAAAUUCUGGUUUAAUUAUUUUCAGAUUUUCCAAUUGAUUCCGAUGUUUUCUAGUCCAAAGAAAUCUUCUUUUCAAAGACACUUUAUGCUCUUUCAUAUUGCUCAUCAACAGAAAGAGAUGACAAUGACAUAUUGACAGCCUUUCAUGUUUCACUUAGAUUGUGAAAUGAGCUUCGAUGGAGGGUUGAAUUACUAAAUCAUUAUCCAUCACUUGAAACUCAAUGCUGCAUCUUUGAUGGAUUGUCAUUGUGCUCCGUUGUAGAUUGAAAGAACAAUUAUAUCCAUAAAUAAAAUGUGUAUUUACUUUCUGAAAUAAAACUCAUUGAUUAACAAUGCGUUCCCG